UACGUAUGGUGCAAGCGUUAUCCGGAUUUACUGGGUGUAAAGGGAGCGUAGACGGCUGUGCAAGUCUGAAGUGAAAGGCCGGGGCCCAACCCCGGGAGUGCUUUGGAAACUGUGCGGCUAGAGUGUCGGAGAGGCAAGUGGAAUUCCCAGUGUAGCGGUGAAAUGCGUAGAUAUUGGGAGGAACACCAGUGGCGAAGGCGUCUUGCUGGACGAUGACUGACGUUGAGGCUCGAAAGCGUGGGGAGCAA
rnacentral:rRNA from 1 species